rnacentral:lncRNA from 1 species
GCCAUUAUUAUGUUGUCAAUGAUGUAAUAAUAAUAAAGAUAUUAACAGAGGUUAGGUACUUAGCCUUGCACAGCUCAGGAAGAGUUGGCUUUAAAAGACAUUGUAGGAGAAUUAUUAUUCCCAUUCCUUCCUCUCCAUUCUCUUUCUGGCCAGUUUGUUUUCUCCCCUUAUUCCCCGCCCCCUUCACUCUUCCUCUUAGGAAGAGGAGAGGAAUUUAAAAAUUGGAUAAGAAAAGUACAGCUGUUCAGUUGGGGCCUUUGGUUGUUGGGAAGGAGGCCACCAGACCACAGCUGGCCAAGUAACUCAUGGAAACCAUUCCCAAGCUUCUGGUGGUACCAAGUGUUCCUCGGUUUGUGGCAGCAUAACUCAAUCUCUACUCAUGUUUCCAUAUGACCAUCUUACUUUUGUUUCUCUGUCUUCUCCUCUUCUUACAAGGAUUCCAGUCAUAUUGGAUUAAGGAUCCACCCUACUCCAGUAUGACUUCAUCUUAACUAAUUAUAUUUGCAACUACCCUAUUUUCAAAUCAGGUCAUUCUGAGGUACUUGGGGUCAGGACUUCAACGUAUCUUUUAGGGGGACACAAUUCAACCCGUAAUAGUUGCUGAUCUAGGAUUUUAGAUGUAAAGUGGAGGCUUGAAGAUGACACCGGGUGUCAGUAUUAGGCCAGUUGAUUCAAAGUAGCUCUGAGGAUAUCAGUGUAAUCUUAAAUUUAUACUGAUAGAUAGAAAUACAUAGUUGUAUAUAUAUGUAUACUUGCACAAAUACAUACAUAUAUAUGUGUAUAUAUAUCACACACUCAUAUAUAUACAUAUAUGUACAUAUUUUAU